rnacentral:rRNA from 1 species
AGGUUACUUCGGUAACUGACCUAGCGGCGGACGGGUGAGUAAUGCUUAGGAAUCUGCCUAUUAGUGGGGGACAACAUUCCGAAAGGAAUGCUAAUACCGCAUACGUCCUACGGGGGAAAGCAGGGGAUCUUCGGACCUUGCGCUAAUAGAUGAGCCUAAGUCGGAUUAGCUAGUUGGUGGGGUAAAGGCCUACCAAGGCGACGAUCUGUAACGGGUCUGAGAGGAUGAUCCGCCACACUGGGACUGAGACACGGCCCAGACUCCUACGGGAGGCAGCAGUGGGGAAUAUUGGACAAUGGGCGCAAGCCUGAUCCAGCCAUGCCGCGUGUGUGAAGAAGGCCUUUUGGUUGUAAAGCACUUUAAGCGAGGAGGAGGCUCCUUUAGUUAAUACCUAAAGAGAGUGGACGUUACUCGCAGAAUAAGCACCGGCUAACUCUGUGCCAGCAGCCGCGGUAAUACAGAGGGUGCGAGCGUUAAUCGGAUUUACUGGGCGUAAAGCGUGCGUAGGCGGCUUUUUAAGUCGGAUGUGAAAUCCCUGAGCUUAACUUAGGAAUUGCAUUCGAUACUGGAAAGCUAGAGUAUGGGAGAGGAUGGUAGAAUUCCAGGUGUAGCGGUGAAAUGCGUAGAGAUCUGGAGGAAUACCGAUGGCGAAGGCAGCCAUCUGGCCUAAUACUGACGCUGAGGUACGAAAGCAUGGGGAGCAAACAGGAUUAGAUACCCUGGUAGUCCAUGCCGUAAACGAUGUCUACUAGCCGUUGGGGCCUUUGAGCUUUAGUGGCGCAGCUA